rnacentral:rRNA from 1 species
UCAGGCCUAACACAUGCAAGUCGAACGGAUCACUUCGGUGGUUAGUGGCGAACGGGUGAGUAAUGCCUAGGAAUCUGCCUAUUAGCGGGGGAUAACGUUCCGAAAGGAACGCUAAUACCGCAUACGCCCUACGGGGGAAAGCAGGGGAUCUUCGGACCUUGCACUAAUAGAUGAGCCUAGGUCAGAUUAGCUAGUUGGUGGGGUAAAGGCUCACCAAGGCGACGAUCUGUAGCGGGUCUGAGAGGAUGAUCCGCCACACUGGAACUGAGACACGGUCCAGACUCCUACGGGAGGCAGCAGUGGGGAAUAUUGGACAAUGGGCGCAAGCCUGAUCCAUCAAGGGCCGCGUGUGUGAAGAAGGCCUUUUGGUUGUAACUUUAAGAGGCGAGGAGGAGGGCACUUAGGUUAAUACCCUGAUGUGUGGAC